GACGAACGCUGGCGGCGUGCCUAAUACAUGCAAGUAGAACGCUGAAGGAGGAGCUUGCUUCUCCGGAUGAGUUGCGAACGGGUGAGUAACGCGUAGGUAACCUGCCUGGUAGCGGGGGAUAACUAUUGGAAACGAUAGCUAAUAACGCAUAACAGUAGAUGUUGCAUGACAUUUGCUUAAAAGGUGCAAUUGCAUCACUACCAGAUGGACCUGCGUUGUAUUAGCUAGUUGGUGAGGUAACGGCUCACCAAGGCGACGAUACAUAGCCGACCUGAGAGGGUGAUCGGCCACACUGGGACUGAGACACGGCCCAGACUCCUACGGGAGGCAGCAGUAGGGAAUCUUCGGCAAUGGACGGAAGUCUGACCGAGCAACGCCGCGUGAGUGAAGAAGGUUUUCGGAUCGUAAAGCUCUGUUGUAAGAGAAGAACGAGUGUGAGAGUGGAAAGUUCACACUGUGACGGUAGCUUACCAGAAAGGGACGGCUAACUACGUG
rnacentral:rRNA from 1 species